rnacentral:rRNA from 1 species
GUUGAGUAUAUGGGUUAGGUUGGGCGGACGGGUGGAGGUAACGUACGUGGGUAACCGUAGUCCUACACAGGGGAGUAACAACUUAGAAAUAAGGUAGCUAAAACCGACAUAAGACGCACAGCUUCGCAUGAAGCGGUGUGAAAAACUCCGGUGGUGUAAGAUGGACCCGCGUCUGAUUAGCUUGUUGGCGGGGUAACGGCCCACCAAGGCGACGAUCAGUAGCCGGCCUGAGAGGGCGGACGGCCACAUUGGGACUGAGACACGGCCCAGACUCCUACGGGAGGCAGCAGUGGGGAAUAUUGCACAAUGGGGGAAACCCUGAUGCAGCGACGCCGCGUGAGUGAAGAAGUAAUUCGUUACGUAAAGCACUAUCAGCAGGGAAGAAACACUGACCUUACGGUCAGCAGACGGUACCUGAGUAAGAAGCCCCGGCUAACUACGUG